UUUCCCAUCUUUUCUCUCGAGCCUUUAAAUGGUGACACACAAUCUCCCAGAGGUGUGUGACUGAGAUCAGGGCUCUUAUUGUACUGCCAAGCGGUGCAGAGACUCCAACUGAGAUCUGGGCCCUGUUCUGCCAGGCGCUGAAGAGACCCCAGGCUACAGAAUAACGUCCACGUUUCGCCCCAAAUCAUCCCCUCUCCCAGGGGAAGGA